AUUUGAAUCUUUCUUAAUAUCUGGUUCUCUCAUUAAUUAAUGAGUUAAAUGAAAUCUUUGUCAAGUGUUUAUAUCUUUCUGGGAAGCAUCGUUUUAAUGCUUUGAAAGCUAUGCUUUAUCAUUGUGAAGAUUCCUAGGCAUACAUCUCAGAGCAUUGAGGUCAGCAUCAUGGACCUCACGCCCCAGCCCCGGAGGCUGCCACACGAUGCCGCAGAGACGGCUGCACAUACUUUUCACAGAAUCCGCUCACCCUCCGCACAGGGCAGGUGCAGUGACCAGCCCACUUCACGGGAGAGGGAAGGAAAGCAGAGUGUGUGCAGGGACCCCAGCAGGCGCAGGCAGGUCAACACUUCCCUGGAUGCCCAGCACAAUGACCUCCGGAUGACUUUAGGACACGCCACCCUGGACCCGCUGCAUAAAGUCUGGAAGUGUGGGGCCUGCAACACAGCCUGAGCAGCGAGCUCAGAACACACCAGGAGAGCCCUUCCACCUACCAGCUGUGCAGCCGUGGAUGUGUCACCUCCCCCAGAGCCCCAGUGCCUUCCCAAGGGUGCGACAGGCCGCACAGCCCAUGGCAGCCAGCAGGGUGGGAAAAGCUGGCCCAUGCGGGGCUCCUGAACCGGGGGCAUCGCCUUCCUUUCCUCUAACUGCUGUCCUCCCCGUUGGCUGCCUGCCGAUGGUGGCGGCUGCCCCUGCACCCAGGCAUCAGCCUGGACCAUCCCUAGCAAACAGAACACUUGAAACAGAAGAACACUUGGGCGUGUUUGGCGCUCUCCCGUCAGCUGCUGGGCCCUGCCGUGCCCUCCAUAUGCCCUCCACGUGCCCCGCUGCUCUGGAGGCUGGUGCUGACCUCCCGCUUGGAGCGGCGGCUAGUCGUGGCUUUCUUACACUGAAUGUGCCCCUGGAUGGGCUCGCAGGGCCCAGUCCUUGCCUCCUGACUGCCACGGCGAGCCUGCUGUCCUCCAGCGCCCUCUGCACACUGAACGCUGGGUCUGUCUGUCUGUCAGGCUCUGGAUGGCUAGAGAUGGACGCUCUUUAUCCCUCUGCUUGUGUUCUCAGCUGAAGCUGCCAUUUUGCUCUCUGUGCCAUGGAGUGGCAUUUGAGGCAAGGAGCCCUCCAUCCUGCUUCGAGUCCAAGCUGAGAGGGGGUGUCCCACUCCUGCGAACAUGGCUCCGACGGUCCCCUUGAUGAAAGUCGAGCCUGUAUGGGGGCCGGGAGCAGACACGCAGGGUCCCCCCCGAAUCCCAGGAGGAUUACGGCCGGACUGUCUGCGGACUGCCACUGGAGGACCAUUUAGGAUGGGCCCCUCUUCAUCUCACGGCACCCGCUUCUUGUUCUCGUCCUUCUGAACGGACCUCCCAACCCAGAUUCCAGAAGGAACCAUUCUGACUGCUCUAGCAGGUGUCUACCCAGAGUGGUUAAAACCUCAAGGAAUUUAAGAGUGGGACACCUGCAGCCUAGCUCCGCACUCUAACAAGAGCAAACUAGCUUCUUCUGGGUCACUUUGUCAGGUCAUUUCAAGUAAGUAUCAAAAAACUAUAUCGAAAAAAAUUUGGAAAAAUUUCAAACUCCACCUUUUCCUAUAAUAGCAGUUGUCCUACUGGGUGAUGGGAGAGACCCAGGCCUGUACCUCUGCUCACCCCAGACUGGUCAGCUUUGCCACAUGACAUCACCUUGAUGGGUGGGGAACACUUGGAGGGAACCGUUCCUGGUGCCUCGCUGGCUGCAGGGGGGACGGGGUUGUGGAGGGUCCUGGGAAGGAGGCAGGGGUGGUUGCGGGGGCCUGGUGUGUCUUGAGCUGAGAAACUCCACCUUUUCCUGUAAUAGCAGUUGUCCUACUGGGUGCUAAAAGUGCCAGGCUGUGUAGAGGUGCCUCUUAUAUAUGGAAAAAGCUUGAGUUGAAUUACUUUUCAUAAAGUAUUUUAAGCAAUUAAAAACUGACUCAAAUGUAUGGUGUACAAUUUAUGGGCCUUUAUUCCCAAGCAAGAAGAGUUGACUACAAAUUAACUCCAUGGCUGCUGGUUAAAAAAACAAUAAAUCCCCUCUCAAACCAAGGACUGUGUGGUGCUUUGGUAACUCCGAUUGACAGAAGGCAUGUCUGUUAGGACACACUGAUUAUAUGGUUUUUAUCUAUUAUAAAGUUGGUGCUUUAGGAAAGGAAAGGAGACUCUAGGAAGGAAGAUGGGGAGCAGGAGCCUAGCCAUAGGGCCACUGCCGUGGUGAGGGGUGGUCAUGGCUCAGAUAGGGCGGGGGUGACAUGAAGGUAUCAUGUGAGCAAAGUUUGGUCCAGAGCCCCUGGUCCUAGCCGAUGGCCUGGGUGUGGGAGGCUCGGGUGGAAAAGAGAGAAAACCAGGGUGACUCCUGGGAUUUUGGCUUGAGCUGGAUUUUGGCUGGAUUCUGGCAGCAGCUGCUGAGGUGGAGUUUGGGACACUGAACUUAUGCUACCUAGUGCUGAUGAAGGAGGUGACUACACAUACGUGCCAGGUGCACCGUCAGGGUGGUCCUGGAGGUGAUGGCGAGGACUGGUGGAGGUAGGAUGCACAAUAAGCCUGAUAAGGAAUUAGAGGAACAGACCGUAAGGGCAAGCUCCAUGCAACUGCUGCUACAAACUGAAAGACCCCUGACGGUUUACUGAGAGUGGGAUGAUGGGUGAUAACGUAGCUUUAAUUCCCUGUCAAUGAAGCUCAAAAUCCACUGCAGCUUUGCAGACAUUUGCUGGCUAUCUGAAUGCAUUUGAGACUGUAUUCAAAGAAUAAAAUCAUCUAAUCCUCUAUUUAUGAACUGGUGCAUUCCUCUGGGUUUUGAUUACUUUUUUGUUCCCAAAAGUUUGGUGACAAGUAUGGGAGUGAGCCUUCCCACUGGGCCAAUUAUUGGAGCUUCGUGGUCACCUUUGAGCAGGUAAGAGGCCCUGUGUGCUGAAAAGCCUCUCUUCAACACGGAGGCUCCGUAAAUACUCCAAGUGACUGAUCUCCCUUCUGUAGCUUACAACACAGAAA